AUUGAACGCUGGCGGCAUGCCUUACACAUGCAAGUCGAACGGCAGCACGGGGCAACCUGGUGGCGAGUGGCGAACGGGUGAGUAAUGUAUCGGAACGUACCUUUCAGUGGGGGAUAACGUAGCGAAAGUUACGCUAAUACCGCAUAUUCUGUGAGCAGGAAAGCAGGGGAUCGCAAGACCUUGCGCUGAUUGAGCGGCCGAUGUCAGAUUAGCUAGUUGGUGAGGUAAAGGCUCACCAAGGCGACGAUCUGUAGCGGGUCUGAGAGGAUGAUCCGCCACACUGGAACUGAGACACGGUCCAGACUCCUACGGGAGGCAGCAGUGGGGAAUUUUGGACAAUGGGGGCAACCCUGAUCCAGCCAUGCCGCGUGAGUGAAGAAGGCCUUCGGGUUGUAAAGCUCUCUCGGCCGGGAAGAAAUCGCACGGGCUAAUACCCUGUGUGGAUGACGGUACCGGAAUAAGAAGCACCGGCUAACUACGUGCCAGCCGCCGCAGUAAGAC
rnacentral:rRNA from 1 species